AGCUUCUAUCCUUCAGGAACGACCUAUUCUGCGAUUUUACGUCGUUUUAUAGUGUUUGGAGACGAUUGGAGGUGGUGGAAAUUCUCAUCAGAUAUGAGCUUCUACCUUUCAAAAACGCUUUAUUUUGCGAUUUCACGACGUUUCGUAGCGUUUGGAGGCGAUUGGAUAAGGUUGUAAUUUUGAUUAAACGUAUAAGCUUCUAGCCUUCGGAAACGAUCUAUUCUGCGAUUUGACGACGUUUCGUCGCGUUUGG